rnacentral:rRNA from 1 species
UACAGAGGUCUCAAGCGUUGUUCGGAUUCAUUGGGCGUAAAGGGUGCGUAGGCGGCGCGGUAAGUCGGGUGUGAAAUCUCGGAGCUUAACUCCGAAACUGCAUUCGAUACUGCCGUGCUUGAGGACUGGAGAGGAGACUGGAAUUUACGGUGUAGCGGUGAAAUGCGUAGAUAUUGGGAAGAACACCUGAGGCGAAGGCGGGUUGCUGGGCCGACACUGACGCUGAGGCGCGAAAGCCAGGGGAGCGAACGGG